rnacentral:rRNA from 1 species
UGGGGAAUAUUGCACAAUGGGCGCAAGCCUGAUGCAGCCAUGCCGCGUGUAUGAAGAAGGCCUUCGGGUUGUAAAGUACUUUCAGUCGGGAGGAAGGUGUCAAGGUUAAUAACCUUGGCAAUUGACGUUACCGACAGAAGAAGCACCGGCUAACUCCGUGCCAGCAGCCGCGGUAAUACGGAGGGUGCAAGCGUUAAUCGGAAUUACUGGGCGUAAAGCGCACGCAGGCGGUUGAUUAAGUCAGAUGUGAAAUCCCCGGGCUUAACCCGGGAAUUGCAUCUGAUACUGGUCAGCUAGAGUCUUGUAGAGGGGGGUAGAAUUCCAUGUGUAGCGGUGAAAUGCGUAGAGAUGUGGAGGAAUACCGGUGGCGAAGGCGGCCCCCUGGACAAAGACUGACGCUCAGGUGCGAAAGCGUGGGGAGCAAACAGG